AGCCAGACAAUUCUCAGCCGACACCCCUAAACCUCACCCUCUGCUCCUCUCUCGUGACCGAGCACCGGCGAUCGGAGAGCUCCGACCGGCCACCGGUCUUCUUGCACCUCCGACAAACCCCCAAACACCCACCUACCACCCCCUAGCCCACUGCACUCAAGAAACACCCCCCCCCUUUUGAUUGACAGCACGGAGCACCACCACCAACAUCCGGUGGUGGUGCGGCGACGAAAACCAGCAGACAGAGAUGAGAGAGACUAGAAGUGAGAGAGAGGAGAACCAGAAGCAGAGUGGAACGGCAAUGAACCGCCGUCUGCGGCGGAGCCGCGGUGGCAGUGGUGGUGUUUUGUUCUGACGGGUCUCACGGCGGGGGUAUGGUUGCCGGUGACAUGUACAGCAGUGCCGACAGUAGCAAGGGCGGUGGUUGAUGGUGGGGUUGAGCGGACCCGGUUCAAGUCCGGUUCGGGUCAGAUUUAACACGGGUUAGCGAGUCAACUCGGUAUGGUUUCAGGUCAGCUCACUGUGCGGGUCAACUCACUACUAGGGUCAACUUAGUUCGAUGUUCGGAUCAACAAGUUAACGGAUAGCUCGGUUUGGUCAACGACUCAGAUUUUCGGGUUUCGGAUUCGGUCAAAGAUGGUCAAACUGGUCAACAUCAGGUCAACGACAGUCAACUGUCGGGUCAACAGCGACCAAACAGGUCAACGACAGUCAACUCAAAGACCCGGUAAUGAAAUUAAACGAUGCGAAAAUUCCGUUUAUAGUUUAGAUUUUUAUUGUAGUUAUACGCGACCGAGCUCGACCGAUACCGUUAGUGAUUAAUCACGUUUUAUUUUUGUCGUAUUUGAUAAAGAUUUAGUAUAUAUUGUGUGAAUUGAUUGAAUUCUUGUUGAGAUUUGACAAAAUACGACAACUUUUUAUUGUCGGGUUACUCCUAAAA